GACGAACGCUGGCGGCGUGCUUAACACAUGCAAGUCGAACGGAAAGGCCCUGCUUUUGUGGGGUGCUCGAGUGGCGAACGGGUGAGUAACACGUGAGUAACCUGCCCUUGACUUUGGGAUAACUUCAGGAAACUGGGGCUAAUACCGGAUAGGAGCUCCUGCUGCAUGGUGGGGGUUGGAAAGUUUCGGCGGUUGGGGAUGGACGCGCGGCUUAUCAGCUUGUUGGUGGGGUAGUGGCUUACCAAGGCUUUGACGGGUAGCCGGCCUGAGAGGGUGACCGGCCACAUUGGGACUGAGAUACGGCCCAGACUCCUACGGGAGGCAGCAGUGGGGAGUAUUGCACAAUGGGCGGAAGCCUGAUGCAGCAACGCCGCGUGCGGGAUGACGGCCUUCGGGUUGUAAACCGCUUUCGCCUGUGACGAAGCGUGAGUGACGGUAAUGGGUAAAGAAGCACCGGCUAACUACGUG
rnacentral:rRNA from 1 species